rnacentral:rRNA from 1 species
AUUGAACGCUGGCGGCAGGCCUAACACAUGCAAGUCGAGCGGAUGAAGGGAGCUUGCUCCUGGAUUCAGCGGCGGACGGGUGAGUAAUGCCUAGGAAUCUGCCUGGUAGUGGGGGAUAACGUCCGGAAACGGGCGCUAAUACCGCAUACGUCCUGAGGGAGAAAGUGGGGGAUCUUCGGACCUCACGCUACCAGAUGAGCCUAGGUCGGAUUAGCUAGUUGGUGGGGUAAAGGCCUACCAAGGCGACGAUCCGUAACUGGUCUGAGAGGAUGAUCAGUCACACUGGAACUGAGACACGGUCCAGACUCCUACGGGAGGCAGCAGUGGGGAAUAUUGGACAAUGGGCGAAAGCCUGAUCCAGCCAUGCCGCGUGUGUGAAGAAGGUCUUCGGAUUGUAAAGCGCUUUAAGUUGGGAGGAAGGGCAGUAAGUUAAUACCUUGCUGUUUUGACGUUACCAACAGAAUAAGCACCGGCUAACUUCGUG